UGAGUGGUCCCAGGAAGAUUACACGCAAAACACAAAAAACCAACAGAAACCUCUCGGUAAAAUAUGGCCAGGAAAAGAACUCGCCUUUCCACGGACCCCUAGCCCCAAGAGAAUUACAAGUCCCAGAGGGCCGUGCGGGGACGAGCCCCCGAAACAAGACGCCUGCGGCCCCGGGGGCUGCUGGGAGUUGUAGUCCGAACGGCGGUCGGCCACCUGCGGAGGCGGGUCUGCGAGCCCACUGGGUCUCACCUGGAAAUUGCCCACUAUGGAAGUGCCCAGGGCGCAGAGGAGCCCGGUCCACAGGAUCAGCUGGUUAGGCCGCCUUCCGACGCCCCAGUCGCGGAGCUGGUGGAUUCUCCUCAGGAACAGGCGGUGCAUUUAGUUGUCACGCCUCAUCCCUCGCUUCAGACUUUUACAGUUGCUGAUGCCGAUCCCGACCACCUUGUCAGGUUCCGUUGACUGCCAGCCUCCACUCUCCACUUGGAUUUCUCUUACUAUUACUGAAUUUCUUCUGCUUAUAAAGAACUCCAAUAAUCUGGAUUAAGAACCAUCCUGUUUCACUUGGCCACACCUUAACUGAAAUAAUAUCUUCAAAAGGUCCCCUCAACACCCUAUACCACCUUUUGUCUUUGGCCAUGGUGGUGGUGCCUCCACAGUGGGAAAGAAGAGAGGGAUGGGAAAAGAAUGGCCUGACUAUCUUUCAUUCUCCUUUAAUCUUCAAUCCCACCACCCCCUCUCUGACUUUCAAUCCAUAAACAUGGUAUAUCUCCCCAUUUACUUAGGUCUCCUUUAAAAGUUCUGUUAAUAAAGUUUUAUAGAUUUUCUUGAAAA